AUGAGAGAGAAUAUGUGGAGUUUACAGGGUCACACCGACAGACGAAAUUACUGACAUUCGGUGAAUUCAUUGGAGCUGGGCAGUGAGGGACAUUGACAGUGAUGGGAUCUACGAUCAGUGAAUUACUGAAGGGUUUAAUGUUCCCUGAAAUAUCCGGGUGAGAGAAAUGCCCUCAGACGGACGAUUUUAAUCACAAUGUUCAUCAAUUUGUCUGUUUCUGUUUAGACUGAGUUAUAAUGAACUGGGAGAUUCAGGAGUGAAACUGGUGUCUGCGGCUCUGAGGAACCCGGAGUGUAAAAUACAGAGACUGUGGCUGAUCCGUGUCGGUCUCACAGAUUCUGGUGCCGAGGAUCUUGUCUCCGCUCUCAGUACAAACCCAUCACUGACGGGGCUGAACCUGGGAUCAAACUCUCUGACAGACCGAUCUGUCCCCGCUCUCCGCCGCCUCAUACUGACCCUCCCGAGUCUGGAGCGGAUCUGGUGAGUGUUUGUGUUAAUGUUCAAUGUGAUAAAAUAUCAGCGGAUCCGCGGGUUUUCUGGUGAUAUUUGUCUGUGAGUGUUGUUGAAACAUUAACGCCGGUCCCCUGUUACUGACACUGUUGUGUGAUCUGUUUAUUUCAUCUUUAUUCUCCCAUCUGUUUCAGGCUGGCGGGGAAUCGGUUCAGUGAGACCGGGAGGAAGGAACUGAGAUCUCUACAGGAACCCAGACCCGGACUGAUGGUGGUUCUGUGAACAUCUGAAUGUGGGGAAUCGGUUCAGUGAGACCGGGAUGAAGGAACUGAGAUCUCUACAGGAACCCAGACCCGGACUGAUGGUGGAUCUGUGAACAUCUGAAUGUGGGGAAUCGGUUCAGUGAGACCGGGAUGAAGGAACUGAGAUCUCUACAGGAACCCAGACCCGGACUGAGAGUGUGGAUCUGAACAUCUGAAUGUGGGGAAUCGGUUCAGUGAGACCGGGAUGAAGGAACUGAGAUCUCUACAGGAACCCAGACCCGGACUGAUGGUGGAUCUGUGGACAUUUGGCCUUUAACCUUGAUCUUACCUGGAACCCAGACCCGGACUGAUGGUGGAUCUGAAUGUGUGAACAUCCCCGCCCGCGGGAUGGGGACAUUUGGCCGACUCCCCGCCCUCCCCUUUAACUCCCGCCCUUACCUUUAACGGCCGCGCGCCGGGGCUGAUUCCCAACGGUUUUAACGGAACCGGCUCGGGCCUCGCGCUGUGUGCGUCGCUCGCAGCGGUCCCGCAGUGACGUGUUUCCGCCUGUUGUCCGGCGGGGCAGCUUCCGCCGGAAGUGCGUGUUGGAGACUCCCCACGUGACUCCCCGGGGAAUUACCCGGACAGGAAGAGCCCGGGGUCCUGGGCUCAGUCUGGGACACCGGUGUCCCGGGGUGGGGGGAUGGUCCCGGGAGAGAAUCCUUUUGCCCCCUUUGCUGAGGACGGUGCAUUCGGCAGCCUGGCCGAUAUAAUGAUGUUAAAUGGACAAAUCCCUCGGCAGUGACCCUGGAUCUGCAGCGAUCCCGGUCACGGCCCUGAAGUGUGAUUUUAUAAUCAGUUUUAUAAUUUUAUAAUCAGUUCCCCGAUGCAGAGUGACGGUGAGAAACGGGACUGAUUAUUCAACCGGUCACUCCUUGUCGCCGGUCAGUUAAUUGUGUGUGACUGUGAGCAGAUCAUUUAUUCCUGCACCUUAGCAGCUCACACAUUGUUUCAUUGAUAUUUCUCAUAAAAAAUCAAUAAACCACUAUCUUCCUG